CCUUCGAUAGCUCAGUUGGAAGAGCGGAGGACUGUAGGUUACAUAUGUUGACAUCCUUAGGUCGCUGGUUCAACUCCGGCUCGAAGGA
rnacentral:tRNA from 1 species